UACGUAGGGGGCAAGCGUUGUCCGGAAUCAUUGGGCGUAAAGCGCGUGUAGGCGGCCUUGUAAGUCCGUUCUGAAAGUCCGGGGCUCAACCCCGGGAGGCGGAUGGAUACUGCAAGGCUCGAGUACGGAAGAGGCGAGUGGAAUUCCUGGUGUAGCGGUGAAAUGCGCAGAUAUCAGGAGGAACACCAAUUGCGAAGGCAGCUCGCUGGGACGUUACUGACGCUGAGACGCGAAAGCGUGGGGAGCAAACAGG
rnacentral:rRNA from 1 species